rfam:Canis lupus familiaris chromosome 28, whole genome shotgun sequence.
AGGAGCAACAGCCCUAGUGGCGGGGCCAGCUCUGCAGCCCUGGAGUCAGUCCCCGCAGUAACUCCAGAGCUCUCCGUCUGCAGGGCCUGGAGGCUCCGGGGCGGG